rnacentral:misc_RNA from 1 species
CGACGAUGAUGUAGGCCCGUUUGGCUUCCAGACUCGAAUUAUUUUUGGGUGGUCAAAGUUGACAGCGUAAUGGCUACGGCCAGCUAUACCACCGCGCGGGUGCUUCAUUUCUUCGAACCACACACCCCUCUCUCCUAUUUUACAUCACAAUAAUAGGGAGGACAAUGGACAAUACUUUGUGCGUGGGGAACAACAAUAAUUGUGUGGCGCAACUGUGGGUUGACUUGCAACAAGGGCUAGCCUCACUGUCCUACUGUCAAUAUUAUCCACGUGUACAAUGUACACGGCGAGUUCACUCAACUGUUAUCACUGAGUGACUGCCAUGUUUUUGGCUAACCCAAAUACAUGCACUUCCCCCACGGUUCACUGAUCAUGGGUGUAGGCCAAAUAAUUUUUACAGCAACAAUGCAGAACCAUUGCUUAGUGUGUGAUUCAUACGUAGGGUAAUAACAAUUAAGGACUCGCCCUGAACAGUUAUUUGGAAAGUUCAUUCAUAACCUUUCCCUCUCUCCCGUGCAGAGUGAUUUUCUCUGCUGUCUUAGCCAUACAAUUUUAGACGGGUUCAUCAGAAGUCGUCACUGGCCUUUUGAUCACUUUCGUACCCCCUCGGGGAUUACUUGAAAAAAUUAAUCGGCUGUGGACUCCAUGACGUUUGUGGAACUUGUGGAACUGUGAGUGGAAAUACAUCAACUGCGUGGAUCAGGGAAGCCAAUGCAAAAAAAAUGGCCGAUGUUCGAAUUCACAACUGGUGGUUAAUUUGUGCUUUACUGCUUGAAAUCGGCAGUAAUUCUGCAGCUCUGGCAGCGGAGAAUGACCUUCAACUGGUUGGAAGUGAUCGAACCUUUGAAGGCAAAUUGAUGAUACAGCAUGCUGGGGCUUGGAGGACAGUGUGUUACGACGGAUGGACACAUGAGGAUGCAUCUACUGCUUGCAGGCAACUAGGAUACUCACAGGGUGCGAUGAUUACCAGAGCAAAUGAUGGAACUUUUGCUGGCCCAGCAGCUACCCCCACCCUUCGAUCACCGGGUUGCACUGCAUCACACCACCGGCUCACUGAUUGCACCGAUUUCCAGUAUCAGGAGAAUUUGACAUGCACCAGUGAGGUUGACUUGAGUUGCUAUGCCAAUGACUUCAAUGGUUGUUUCUCGAACACACCUCAAUCUUGGAAUAUGGAUGAAAAACUACCUGGUGCAUCAAAUAGCAUUGAGUCGUGUCUGGAUUUCUGCAGGAGCUCAUCACUCAAUCCAAGAUUUGCGGCACUUGCUGAAAGUCGGUGUUUUUGUGGCUCUGAUGAGGGUAACAUGGGUAGCGUUGUCUCCAAACUCAACUGUGCAUUGCCAUGCAGUGGGGACCCCAUGGAAGCAUGUGGAUCUAAUACUAAUGGCUACUUUGCAAUAUGGCCAGUUACUGUUGGUGCACCUGGGGGCGCAUGGACCACCGCAACUGGCUGUCUGUACUCGCGUGACUUCCCAGCUCGAUACCAGACCACGCGCAUGACAACCACUGAUGAGUACACAGUGACUCUACCCACGCGUGCCUACAUCUCUCUCAUGUUCAAGAGCUUCGACAUCUACAGCGGUGACAGCGUUAAGUUGAGAGACAAGUCUGCUGGGUCGGCAAUGACGACAGUGGAUCUGACUCCGCCCAGCUCGCCAGGGACUGCUGUCAUACCUUUGGAUUUUCGAGUGUCAAGAUUUUCACUGCUGUUCGUUUUGGCAGCCAACUCGCCUUCAGGGAGUAAUUAUGGUUUUGUCAUCUGCUAUGAAUCACUUGUGGAACUUCCUACCGAACCCCCUACUGUACCUUCAACUGUGCCUCCUACUGUGCCAGCAACUGACCCACCAACUGACCCACCAAUUGACCCACCAACCAUCCCCCUGACAGCUCCCCAAACCGAUGCUCCACAGCCACAGACCUUGCCUCCAGUUGGCCCUACUAUUGGUCAGCCCACAGACUCUCCGGAUUCACGGACGACUCCCAGUCUAGAUGCUAUAAUGAGUACCGAUGUGCUGGCCAUUGAUAGCACCUCGGAACCACCAACUAGUACAAUUGAUGACCAAGAUACGGUCAUGAUGUGUCCUGCUUAUCAGGGGGCUCCUCUGGAAAACAGAACGGGUAGCGAGACAAUGACUGACAUUCUUCUCAUCAACACUGGCAAUCCCUUCAACUGCAGUGGUUUCUUGACCAACAUUAGUUAUUUUUCUGCUGGCGACCAUGCAUUGGAAGUCAGUAUAUGGCAACCUAAUCACAAUCCAGACACAGAUGAGUGGCUGUACAGCUUAUCUGCCAGGGCCGCUCUAGAAGGAGCACACCCGGGGAUUGCAUCAGUUUCACUCAACAGGGAUGACUGGCUUCCUUUUGGUCCUGGGGAUGUGAUGGGAAUCCGCUUCCAGACCUCACCACUGGUGUUCAGCGAUGUAAUCUCAUCAGACGAGGAAGCCACACUUUGGAUGAGAUGGAAUCUUGAAGAUGGAAGUGUAGCUGGCUCCAUCAUGGAGAAGAGGGACACGGUCAAUGCCACUGCUCUCAACCGUACUUACUCCAUCUCUGCAACCUUGAGAGACAAAGCUCACUGUCUGGUCCCAAAUGUUCCCAACAUUGCUUCCACCGAUGCCAUUGUACCUUACGUGUACGAGGGAGACGACUACUUACUAGAUUGCAGAGCGGGCUACCGACCAGUUGGAGGGCGAGUUUACAUGUGUCAAUCUACUGGGAGAUUUGAUAGAAACUUGGAAUGCCAAGACGAUGGAAGUUCCCCAUUACCAAUCUUCACCGUGGUGAUCCUGUGUGUUGUUGUCUUGGUAUUGAUCUGUCUGACUGUGUUUGUCAUCACCUGCAUGAUGAUGUGUUGCAGUUCUGGGGCCAAGCGCUCUGGGGAAUCUGCACCUGCCAAUGUGAAGAUGGAGGCUGACACCAGCUCCAAGUCUAUAGACCAGCCAGAUGCUGGCAUGGGUGAUACCAAUAGCAUGGAUGACAACCAAUUCCUCAUCAACAUUGACUCAGAAAAUGGCGAGCCAGAUGAAGUUGCCAACCCUGUGGCAGAACAGGAUUUGGAAGUGCCAGCGCCCGAGGAGACUUCACCCCUACCGGACUCAGAUGCCCACGGCAUGGAGAAUGGCAUUGCUAACCCAGAGGCCAAUGUGGAGGGCACCCCAGUCAUGGAGAACCCUGUUCAUGAUUCUGAUGUAAGUGUCUACCGUCCGUUUGUCUACUCAACUCCCACGGGGGGACUGCUGGCUGAAUACCCUCCCCGUACUCCUCCCCCUGCUCCCCCUGUGGCCCCUCCCCCACCUCCAGUUGGAGGUACUAACACUGAAAUCACCCCUAGCAACCCAGUGCCCCUUGCACCAGUGCCACCUCCGCUCUACCUUCAACCUACCAUCCCAGUAGCGCGUUCUGAUCAGCCCCCACCGGAUAGUCCAGAUACUGGGUCCAAUGCCGCCCUCAUUAGCGAGGAUCAGUCAGAUACUUUAUCUAAUCCCAGCCAGAGAGGGUACUCUUCGAGGCGUAUUGGCCAGAGCAUUUCCUCACGGCUCAGCGUCUUUGAAAACUAAAUGCUUCAUUUAUUAUUUGAUGAAAUGCAAAUGCAGCAGCCAUCUUGAAUUUAUGAUGCCAUUUUAGGCAAACAGUUUCCAAAAUAAGUUGCUCAACCUUUUCAAAUCAGCAAUUAAAGUCCCCUUUUUCCGCGAUUUUGUGGGUAUUUUUCGCCAAAACCCUUUCUUUUUGCGAGUGGCUGUUUAUUUUAACGUCCGUGGAAAGGAAAUAGCUGUAGUUAUUGUCUAACAUUUACCACGAUAAAGGUUAUGAACAGCACCUCCAUAGGAAGAUGGUGUCGGCCCCCCCCCCUCCCCAUUGUAACCUCAAGCCACUCCCACACACCCCCCUAGGGUGAGAACCCUGGCUACGCUGCUGCAUUGUAAUAUGUUAUGUAACAAAUCAUUUAACCUGGAAUCGUCUGUGGAUGGUACACCAUUCUGCGUUUUGAUACCAUUUCUCAUUCAUAAAAAUGACUACACUUCUGAGUUGCAGCUCUAGUGGCUUUUUUCGGGACCAUUGACAAUGGGCAUGCGCAUGCAUACACAGGCUUUUAGGUUGCUAUUUUAUUGGGCUCUUUCUUACUUUUCCAUUAGAUUUUGGAUAUCAUCAGAUUUUAUUUUGACUGCUCCCAAAAAUAUUUCCUUGCCCCCCAAUUUCCCCCCAAAUUUUAGAGUCUGGCGCCGCCACUGCUUAAGGCUGCAUUUUUUCUAAUAAAGGUGUCAUGUUGAAACAGUACUCACUUGCAUAAACAUUAAAUAGUGCAAAUUAACUGGAAACAGUUGCAUGAUAUGUUUCAUUUUUGCUAAUCUUUCCCCUUUCUGUCAGUCACUUUUUAUGCAGCUCAUUAUCUCCUUGACCAGAAAUGGUUAAUUGGAUUGAAAAUUUCAAUCUUGUCCAAAUUGAUCAUGUGCGUUUUUUAUACUAAAUGACAAAUUGACUCGGCAUAAGAUGCGACUUGGCAAACUUAUUAUUGUUUUGUUUUGUUGUUCUUAAUAUUUUUGGGGGGAAAUUUAAGAAAUUAAUGAUUGGACAAUGUCUAACAUUUCCUUUGAUAACUUCAAAGGUCUAAAUUUAACAACUGCCUGUGAACAUCUGAAGAAAUGCUUUACAUGUUCUGGAUGUGUUGGAGUAAAGGAGAGAUGUAUUCACAACAUCCUAUGAAGUUGAAGGUGUGUCGCAUGACCUGAUGAUGGAUGAGUAUGCCAAUGUAAGACCGUGUCUAAGCACAAGUUAUUAUAUGGGAUACUGUUACAAGUUUCCCAACAUUGUUAGUACAUUAUCUUUCAAACUGUGGUGGUGGUCAUUUAAGUAUUCAUCAAAAGGAAAUUCAUAUACACUCAAGACAGUUUACCCAUUCCUACUGGUCAAGAGCCUGUCACAUAGGUGGUUUUAAAUGGUUGAUAAAACACCAACUGGUUUUAUACACUUUUCCCCGGCACUGCUUUGUUCUGCGCCACAUUGUGCAGUAUGCACCACGCGUGUGCGAAUCUCCAUGGACUUAUUCACGAGAAAGCCAUUUUGGUCGGGUUCCCUGAAUGUAUUUUAUUAACCCUAACUCCCUAGGGGGUGUGCAAAAUUGUUGCAUGGGAGGAUGCCAGAUUAUUUAUACAUUCUAGCCUCACUUUCGUUUUUUGUGACUUAAACAUUAGGGUAUAUUUAAUCACAAAUUGUACAUUAUUCAUUAGAGCAGACUGGUAUAAUGCGUCAUUAACUUUGUCAUUACUUUCAUUUCUCUUCGCAAGUUCUAAAAAUAACAGCGUUGCUGUUGAAACCCCUCAGCCAGAGUCAAGUUAUCAUCCGACAACCAUUAACCUUCAACUCAACAUGGUGAACUUGACCUUUGGCCUUUGACCCCAGAACCAGUCCCAACUUGCCUGUACCCAAGGGCAACCCCCUACCUAAGUCAGACACCAAAAUCUCAUUUCUAACUCAAGUUAUCAUCCGGAAACCA